AGUCGUUGAAAGCACAAUUGUUCGGAAAAUGGAGGAGAAAGGAAGAGAAGAAGCGACCCCAAAAUCUUAGGGGAGACUUGGAAAAACAAAAAGGUGACAAAAGAAGAAGCCCGGAAUUGGGAACUUUUUGAGAAUGAACCGAGGUUGGUGGAGGAAUAAAAAGAACUUCAAAUAACGGUCAAGUUAAAAGAAAAAAAAAAAUGCAAUACCAACUGCUCACGGGGAGGCAAUGCUAGAAAUGCAAAGUUCCUCUUUUGGUCCAUCCUCUGUGACAAAACAAAACAAAAACAAAAUGUCUUCCUCCAAGAAAUUGUGAAGGACUAGGAUUGCAGAAAGAAGAUCAGAAAAUGCGUCUUCACUUUAAAUGAGAUCCACUCUCCAGGACCAGAUUAAUGGUGAUGGGGAAGACUUUUUAUCUGAUGUGCUGGAGAACGACUGAGGCAAAAGGUGAAGCAAAUUGGAUAACUUAAUGGAUAACUUGCAUAAGAAGGUCACAAAACGGAAUCACGUGACACCGGGACACUGCCGCCAUCAUAAAUAUGAGUCAGUUGCCAGACAUCCAAAUUUUGAUCACAUGACCACGGGGGAUGCUGCAACGGUC